rnacentral:rRNA from 1 species
CCUACGGGUGGCAGCAGUCGAGAAUCAUUCACAAUGGGGGAAACCCUGAUGGUGCGACGCCGCGUGGGGGAAUGAAGGUCUUCGGAUUGUAAACCCCUGUCAUGUGGGAGCAAAUUAAAAAGAUAGUACCACAAGAGGAAGAGACGGCUAACUCUGUGCCAGCAGCCGCGGUAAUACAGAGGUCUCAAGCGUUGUUCGGAAUCACUGGGCGUAAAGCGUGCGUAGGCUGUUUCGUAAGUCGUGUGUGAAAGGCGCGGGCUCAACCCGCGGACGGCACAUGAUCCUGCGAGACGAGAGUGAUGGAGGGGGAACCGGAAUUCUCGGUGUAGCAGUGAAAUGCGUAGAUAUCGAGAGGAACACUCGUGGCGAAGGCGGGUGCCUGGACAUUAACUGACGCUGAGGCACGAAGGCCAGGGGAGCGAAAGGGAUUAGAUACCCCGGUAGUC